rnacentral:snRNA from 1 species
UCGCUUCAGCAGCACAUAUACUAAAAUUGGAAUGAUACGGAGAAGAUUAGCAGGGCCCCCACGCAAGGAUGACACGCAAAUUCAUGACAUGUUCCAUAUUUUU